rnacentral:rRNA from 1 species
UAAGGAAUAUUGGACAAUGGGCGCAAGCCUGAUCCAGCCAUGCCGCGUGAAGGAUGAAGGCCCUAUGGGUCGUAAACUUCUUUUAUACGGGAAAAAACCCCCGAUUGCGAUCGGGGUUGAUGGUACUGUAAGAAUAAGGGUCGGCUAACUUCGUGCCAGCAGCCGCGGUAAUACGAAGGACCCGAGCGUUAUCCGGAUUUAUUGGGUUUAAAGGGUGCGCAGGCGGACUAAUAAGUCAGUGGUGAAAGCCUGAUGCUCAACAUCAGAACUGCCAUUGAUACUGCUAGUCUUGAGUACGGUUGAGGUGGGCGGAAUGUGUCAUGUAGCGGUGAAAUGCUUAGAUAUGACACAGAACACCAAUUGCGAAGGCAGCUCGCUAAACCGUAACUGACGCUGAGGCACGAAAGCGUGGGGAGCAAACAGGAUUAGAUACCCUGGUAGUCCACGCCCUAAACGAUGAUCACUCGAUGCUGGCGAUACACAGUCAGCGUCUAAGGGAAACCAUUAAGUGAUCCACCUGGGAAGUACGACCGCAAGGUUGC